rnacentral:lncRNA from 1 species
AUUCCUGAGAACUCUAGGCUGUUUAUCUCCCUGCUCUCAGGGCUGACAAGGCCAUGCAGAAUUCCCAUGUGAAGACAGAACAUAACCUCCAGGUCCAAGUUCUGCAGGUGGAAAGGAAGGUGCACCAGGAGGCUUGUCUUGGAAGAGAUUCCAGACCCUGUCAAACUGACAGGAACCAUCACACUUCUCUCGAUUACAAUUAAUGGAUUCUGGUCUUCAUGAAAGAUAUCCAAAACUUGAUCUUCACUGAAAAACAAGACUGAAGGCAAGCAGAAGGUUGUUUUGGCAAAGCAUACUGAACUGAUAAAGAACUAAUUAGUGUAUUUGAGUUCAGGCCUUGGGACAUUUUGUCCAAAUGCUUUCUUUUUAAUUCAUAAUUUAAAAUGUACCUCUCUCUUUUACUUUGAAACGCAUGCUUCCUUUGGAGUAAAUUCUGAUGGUAUAUAAAGGAGUGAGUUAUAUCUAAAUGAUUUAAAUGUGUUCACCAUGAAUUGCCAGUAACUGUUUUACUCUCCUGACAUUAUAAAAUCUGUCAAAUAUAAUUCAGGAAGAUGUCAAGCAUUAAACAGAGAUAUGACAGCUUUAACCUGGGUUGACUUCAAAAGUACCUUACUAUCCCUCCCUUGCUUGAGAGUUUUUGUAACAUAAAUCAAAGCACAGCACUUAUAAAAUACAUUUGUCUCAUUUA